GUAGGUUGCAAGCGUUGUCCGGAUUUACUGGGUGUAAAGGGCGUGUAGGCGGAGAUGCAAGUUGGGAGUGAAAUCCAUGGGCUCAACCCAUGAACUGCUCUCAAAACUGUAUCCCUUGAGUAUCGGAGAGGCAAGCGGAAUUCCUAGUGUAGCGGUGAAAUGCGUAGAUAUUAGGAGGAACACCAGUGGCGAAGGCGGCUUGCUGGACGACAACUGACGCUGAGGCGCGAAAGCGUGGGGAGCAAACAGGAUUAGAUACCCUGGUAGUCCACGCUGCAAACGAUGAAUACUAGGUGUGGGAGGACUGAUCCCUUCCGUGCCGCAGCUAACACAAUAAGUAUUCCACCUGGGGAGUACGACCGCAAGGUUG
rnacentral:rRNA from 1 species